AGGCCACUCACCAUGGACUUAGGGCUUAUACUGGUUUUCUCUGUCCUUAUUUUAAAAGGUGUCCAGUGUGAAGUGCAGUUGCUGGAGUCUGGGGGAGGCUUAGUGCAACCCGAAAAGUCCCUGAAACUCUCAUGUGCAGCUUCUGGAUUCACCUUUGAUGACUAUGCAAUGAGCUGGGUCCGGCAGGCUCCAGGGAAGGGGCUGGAGUGGGUCGCAUUGAUUAGUUAUGAUGGUGGUACCAUCAGGUAUACUGAUGCUGUGAAGGGCCGGUUCACAAUCUCCAGAGACAAUGCCAAGAACACUCUGUACCUGGAAAUGAGCCAUCUGAGGUCAGAGGACACAGCCAUGUAUUACUGUGCAAGAGACACACUGAGGAUCUGGCAGGGACCCACAACCAUCUCUGCUGGGCUGGCAGUUGCUCUGCAAACAUUUUAA